UUCAUUCAUUCUUUAGUAGGAUGUUCCUUAACCUCCAUGUAUUUGAGGUCUUUCCAAAUUCUUCCUUGUGGUUGACUUCCAGUUUCAUAACAUUGUGGUCUGAAAAUCUUGAUCAUCUUGUACUUGUUGAGGGAUGAUUUCCGACCCAGUAUGUGAUCUAUUCUGGAAAAUGUUUUAUGUGCACUUGAAAAGAAUGUGUAUUCUGUUGCUUUAGGAUGAAAUGUUCUGACUAUAUCUGUUUAGUCUAUCUGGUCCAGUGUGUCAUUAAAAGCCAUUGUUUUCUUGUUGAUUUUCUGCUUGGAGGAUAUGUCCAUUGCUGUAAGUGGGGUUUUAAAGUCCCCUACUAUAAUUGUAUUAUCAUCAAUGAGUUUAUGUUUGUUAUUAAUUGAUUUAUAUAUUUGGGGUCUCCCAAGUUGGGGUAUAAAUAUUUACAAUUGUUAGAUCUUCUUGAUAGAUCUCAUUAUGAUAUAAUUCCCUUCUUCAUCUUUUGUUACAGUCAUUGUUUUAAAAUCUUAGUUUGUCUACUAUAAGUAUGGCUACUCUGGUUUUCUUUUGAUGUCAAUUAGCAUGACAUAUGGUUCUCCAUUCCUUCACUUUCAAUCUGCAGCUGUCUUUAGGUCUAAAGUGAGUCUCCUGUAGGAAGCAUAUAGACAGAUCUUGUUUUUUUUAAUCCAUUCUGAUAUCCUAUGUCUUUUGAUUAAUGCAUUUAAUCUAUUUACAUUCAGAGUGAUUGAGAGUUAUGAAUUUAGUGCCAUUGUGUUACUUGUAGAGUUGGUGUUUCUGGUGAUGUUCUUUGGUCCUUUCUAGUUUUUGUUGCUUUGGUCUUUACUCAGAAUCCCUCUUAAAAUCUCUUGCAGUGCUAAUUUAGUGGUCAUGAAUUGAUUGAGUUUUUGUUUGUCCUUCUAUUCUGCAACCACUUUCUAGCCUUGCUAUAUAAAGAAUUCCUGGCUGCAUAUUUUUCCCAUUCAUCAUGUUGAACAUUUUCUUCCUCUCCUUUCUGGUCUACCAAGUCUCUGUGGACAGAUCUGCUGUGAACCUGAUCUGUCUUCUCUUAUAGGUUAAGGACCCCAGUUUCCAUCUGAAUCCUGCAUUGAUCCUGCCCAUGUCUGAGCCUUUUUAUCUCAGGGACAUGACCCAGUUUCAAACCAAAUUUCUGGGAUGAGAUACCCAUAGUAGGGACCCGCACUGUUACUCUGGGGAGGGUGUCAGCAACUCUCCAGGCUCAUCCCAGGAAAGCAGUCACAUGACCAUCAUGGCAUAGUUUGCAGUUUAUAGCAGAAAGCCAGCACAAAGACCCACUCACUGUUCCUUGCCGGUUUCCCAGCUCCUGUGCCUGGGAGCAGCACUGCACCUUGGUAUCACCCAUUUCUCUGUGACCCAGGGGAUCCUCAGACCACCUUCUUACCCCUAGGAUUCUUAGCCUCUUUGCCACCUGAGCACCUCUAAUCCAGGCACACCCCCCAAAGUAGCAAAUUUAAACAUUCAGAUUUUGCACUCUGAGGUUUCUGAUACUUUAUGGUGGCCUCCAUAAGCAGGCUCCCUCCCUGCCACCUCAUCCACAGCUAUGUCACUCAAGUGAACUUCAGCGCCUCCUACUUUCCAAAAAGUGAUCACUUUUCUACUUGCAGACUUACAGUUUUUAUUCUCACAGAACUCUGGAUUGAUUUCUUGGGUGUUCAGAAUAAUUUGAUAACUAUCUAGCUGUGUUCAAGGGACAAGGCAAGUUCUGGGUCCUCCUACUUCUCUGCCAUCUUAAUUCCUCCUCUUCAACUUAACAUUUCUUGAUAUAACUUUAUAUUGAGUCCAAUAGUCUAUAUUUUUGUGAUUUGUUGACAUUUUCUCCCUUUUCAUCCAAGAGGUAGUAAGAAAUUCCCACUUCACAAUUUUCUGGUGUUUUGUAGCAUUUAGGCUCAGUCAAUACCUUUUUUAUUACUACUUUUAAUAAGCUUUUUAAAAUUUAUUUUUGCUUUAAGAUUCAAGAUAUCUGAAAAACAAUACAGAGAAAUGCCUUUGCUGGGCAAAUGGAGGCUACUAAUCUAAACAAGUGACUUCAUAUGUCAGUCUUCUCUAAGAUAAGGUGAAUCAUUUCCUGUCAUUUCAGAUUUGAAUCACCUCUAUAUGCAUUUAAAAGGUUCUAGAUAUUUUACCCAGCUUCUAAUCCUUUUUUGGUCAUAAAAAUUCUGGCUGAAUAAUUCUGUGGGUAAAGUGAAGUUCCACAUUGUUUUUUCCAUUAGCUUCACUGGUUCCAAAAAAAUACUGAAUACUUAAUAGGGUUGGAAUUAGCUAGAAUGUAUGAAAUGACUUCAAGGACAUUACUCAGCGAUGGGCCUCCAGGUGGGAAUAUCAGUAGGCAGCAUAACUUUGCAGGGACAUAAGUUGACUGAAGAUGGCACAGAAAAAUUCAGAAUGAAAGUUGAUACCACUUCCCUUUGCUACAUCUCCUUUAUCCAGCUUCCGUCACUGGGCACAAUGCAGUAGUCAGAACCUUUUCUCAAUGAAGACACAGCUUAAAAACAGGGCUGAGAGUGCUGCCUGAUAGACCUGCUGUUCUGGAAGCCUGAGGUUUCCUUUUUAGCUUUCAAUUUCUUUCAUAUCAGAUAGGAACACUGAAGCAACAUUCUAAUGAGAGCUGUAGCACCUAAGAGUAGUGGUUUAAAAGAAAAAGAAAAAGAAAAAAAAAGGAGCUUGCAUUUCAACUCCUGACCUGACAAAUCUCAUUUGCAAAACAAGUGAAACUAAGAGGACACAGAGAGCCUCACGGGUCAGAGACAGCAUUCCACUGUGACAUUAUUCUAGUUUACAGCCUGACAGUCCAUGAAAGGCUUAACAAGUCAACAAACUAACCCUUAGUAAUCAGUUAAUGUUCUGAAGGUACUUCUGCUAAUGAGGCUUGCUGUGAAAAACACAAGGUAUUUUACUAACUCAAAUUUUAAUUAUUCAUGCUAUAAAUAUUCAUUGAGGCACCCUAAACAGUAUGAGAGAGUGAACUGUGUGAAGCACUGCAGGGCAAGACAACCUCAUAGUGAAAGAUAGUCAUAAACCUGGCCUCACAGAACUUCCAGUUUUAUAUGAAAGACAAAUAAUCACUACAAGUUACAAGAAUAAUAUAUGAGUUUUAUUAUAGGGAAGUAAGAACAUAUUAGAAGGAUCUAAUUUUUGUCUUAGGAUCAGGGAAAGCUCCCCCAAGGGUAUGAAUGAGCUAAUCCCUGUGGGAUAAGUAGAGAUUACCCAAUGUGUCAGAUAUUCUUAUGCACAAUUUCAGAUUCUCUCAAUCUUACCCAGCUCUUAUUUCAGCUACCAUAGAGUUGACCAGCUUUUGGCAAUCUCUGACCAAUUUCAUGUAGUCGCAACCCAAACUGCUUCACCUCAACCCUGAAUGUCUCAACUCCCACACCAGGGCUUCCUUGCUGAUCCCUCAGAAUUUACUCUGUGACUAUAUACGUGCAGCCUGAAGUGCAGGGGAUUUAACAGCACAUAAGGUGAAACUUUGACCAGUGAAAAAGGAAGGAUCAUGGAUAAAGCCUUCCCUAUUCCCCAAACUAAUGGACUAUCCAGGGAGAAUUAGGCUUCUCUGAGUGCUGUCUAGUCUUAGCACUACUUAGCAACAAAUUCGCUGAAGAGAAAUGGAGAGAAACUUUAUUUCACUUCUUUGUUUGGCUCUCCCUCCUUCCUUCUCUGUUUUACCCUGGUCCUCCCUCACUUCUGUUCCCUGGGAGGAGGCUCUCUAGUAAAAGUGUAGCUCAAGAGUCUGUUUUAGACUCAUUUUCAGGGGAACUUAGGCAAAAAAAAAAAAAAAAAAAAAAA
rnacentral:lncRNA from 1 species